rnacentral:tRNA from 1 species
GGAGGAACUGUGGCUCAGUGGUAGAGCAUCUGCUUGGUGAGCAGAAGGUCCCAGGUUCGAUCACCACAUCUCCA